AUUUAAGUAGUUUAAUAAAAAUAUUGAUUUGUGGUGUCAAUGAUAUAAUGGUUUAUCUUAAAUU
rnacentral:tRNA from 1 species